rnacentral:rRNA from 1 species
CAGUCGCCGCGGUAAAACGAGGGGGGCAAGCGUUGUUCGGAAUUAUUGGGCGUAAAGGGUGCGUAGGCGGUUUGAUAAGUCAUCUGUGAAAUCUAUGGGCUCAACCCAUAGUCUGCAGGCGAAACUGGGAAACUUGAGUGCAGAAGAGGAGAGUGGAAUUCCACGUGUAGCGGUGAAAUGCGUAGAGAUGUGGAGGAGCACCAGUGGCGAAGGCGACUCCCUGGUCUGUAACUGACGCUGAGGAGCGAAAGCGUGGGGAGCGAACAGGAUUAGAUACCCGUGUAGUCCCUGUCUCUUAUAC